CCCCGGUGUUGCUGAGGUUCUGCGGCUCGUAGAGGGAGCCGAUGUUGACGGUGGCGUCCUUGUCGUGCUUGCCGUCGGCGGAGGA
rnacentral:tRNA from 1 species